CACGUAGUUAGCCGUGACUUUCUGGCGGGGCACCAUCAGUCAGCACCCAUUUCCUGAUGCUGCCUUUUUUCCCCCGCAACAGAGCUUUACGACCCGAAGGCCUUCUUCACUCACGCGGCAUCGCUCGUUCAGGCUUGCGCCCAUUGACGAAAAUUCCCUACUGCUGCCUCCCGCAGGAGUCUGGGCUGUGUCUCAGUCCCAAUGUGGCCGUCCGCCCUCUCAGGCCGGCUAUGCAUCAUCGUCUUGGUGGGCCUUUACCCCGCCAACCAACUAAUGCACCGCAGGUCCAUCCGCGCCCCAUCCCCUAAAGGAUGUUUCACAGAAAGAAGAUGCCUCCUUCCUGUACAUCGGGAUUUGUUCUCCGUUUCCAGAGCGUAUUCCCGGUGCGCGGGCAGGUUCCCUAGUGUUACUCACCCGUUCGCCACUAGAGACCCGAAGGUCUCUCGUUCGACUUGCAUGUAUUAGGCAUGCCGCAGCGUUCAUCCUGACGCCAGGAUACCG
rnacentral:rRNA from 1 species